UACGGGGGGAGCAAGCGUUGUUCGGAUUUACUGGGCGUAAAGCGCGCGUAGGCGGCCUGACAAGUCUGCUGUGAAAACUCGAGGCUCAACCUCGAGAUGCCGGAUGAACCGACUGUGCUAGAGUCCGGAAGAGGAGAGUGGAAUUCCUGGUGUAGCGGUGAAAUGCGCAGAUAUCAGGAAGAACACCCGUGGCUAAGGCGGCUCUCUAGUACGGUACUGACGCUGAGACGCGAAAGCGUGGGGAGCGAACAGG
rnacentral:rRNA from 1 species